rnacentral:lncRNA from 1 species
GGGCAGCUUGUAACUCAGAAAGUCAUGUUUCAUUUAGGAUGUGCUGUAUAAUGUUGAAGGGGAAAGUAACUAUUUUGUUUUGUUGUGUUUCUUCCCAGUCCAAGAAGAAAGCAUUUGGAGAAGUGCUACACAUGCUCAACUGAACUUCCUGUCAAAUUGUUCUCACUCGUUUGGGCACAAGUCUGCUUAAGCCAUCUCUCAUUAACAUUUACUCUUGCCCGAAGCCCUCUACGCCCCCAACCCCUGCUAAUCUUCCACAAGCAAGCUGAUCACACUGGGAUCUCCUUUUCCCAGACACGUUUGAUUCUCACUUUCUCCUGAACCUAGAAAUGUGCUUCCCACCAAAGCAUGCCAGGCACUAACUCGUCCCUACUGAAAGGGGCUGUUAAAAGCUCAUCUUCUUUCCAGAUGGUAGUGAGGUGUGAGGUGAUCCUUUCUCUUUCUUUUUUUUUUUUUUUUACUUUUAGCUACCCCUCAAUUCUGGUGUUCAGUAACAAUGUAUUCCACUUAAAAGAGAGAAAUCAUAUUAAUUAUUCUAAGAUAUAAACACUUAAUUUUAUUCAUGCUCUUGAAUUACUUUCCUUUCUACCGCAUGUUUGUGUAGCUGUUAUAUGAGUCCUUUCUACUGAUGUAGCUGUCAUUCCUUCAACUCAGUUCUUGCCAAACACUGAGCUAUGUCUGGAGAUACAAAGAUAACUACUCUUGUUGAAGAGAUGCCAGUUUAGUGGGGGAGACAGACAUGUAAACAGAUCUGUAUCUGAGAUAGAUGGCCUGGGUAGGAAAAGAAUAUAUAUAGCACAAAUAACUCAGUGGACCUGCAAAAACAGAGCUUGAGGCCAUGAUAUACCACAAAGACCCACCAAGGCACAAGCACUGUCAACAUGAAGGCACAGUGUUUAGUAUAUUGUGGGUGCUCCGUAAACAUUUUACUCAAUGGAUAAAUGAAAUGACGAUGAAAUCCUUGUUUAGAAUCCUGUGUUCAGCUCUUUGCUCUUCAACUGUAGACAUGCACAGAAGCAUAAAGGUGAGACAUAAUAACUAGUGCACAGGGAAAUCAGACCUAUGAAACUAGAACUAGAAUUACUAAGGAAGUGUUAUAUUUUUAUUCUUCAGGGGUAAUCAUUAGUUGUUUUUUAAAUGUCUAAUGAGGAUUAAAUAAAAAGAAAUGGAUUAAAGGUUCAGCAGAUGGGCAAAAGUUCUAGAGUAGAUAAAAUGUGGGUUAGAUUUAUAAAAACACUUCCUGGGACUGACUACUAUUUGAGAUUAUAAUCAGUUCCUGAAGAAGAAUACUGGAUAUCUUUUUAAAACAAAAAGAGAUAACAGUAAUCCUUUAUCAACUGAGUGCUUCCUUUGUACCAAGACCUCUGCUAAGGCUGUUUUACAAGCCUGAUCUCCUUUGACAUUUGUAGCAACCCUAUGAGACAGGUACAGGGAUAGCUGGGAGAUGUCAUGGGUUCAGUUUAUGACCACACAAUAAAGCAAGCCACACAAAUCUUUUGGUUUCUCAGUGCAUAUAAAAAUUACGUUUACACUGUAUGGUAGCCUAUUAAGUGUGCAACAGCAUUAUGUCCAAAAAAAGUACAGAUUAUUAAUUAAAACAUACUUUAUUGCUAAAAAAUGUUAACAAUCAUCUGAGUCUCAAGUGAGUCAUAACCUUUUUGCUGGUGGAGGAUCACGCCUCAAUGUUGAUAGCUGCUGACUGAUCAGGGUGGUGGUUGCUGAAGGCUGGGGUGGCUGUGACAAUUUCUUAAAGUAAGACAAUGAUGAAGUCUGCUGCAUCUAUUGACUCUUCUUUCAUGAAAGAUUUAUCUGUAGCAUACGAUGCUGUUUGACAGCAUUUUUACCAAUAGUAGACCUUCUUUCAAAAUUGAGGUCAAUCCUCUCAAACCCUACUACUGCUUUAUCAACUAAGUUUGUGUGACAGCCUAAAUCUUUUGUUCUAGAAUCUACCAUUUCAACAAUAUUCACUGCAUCUUCACCAGGAGUAGAUUCUAUCUCAAGAAUUCUAUCUUCACUUUCUUUGCUCAUCCAUAAGAAGCAACUCCUCAACCAUUAAAGUUUGCAGCAAUCCAGUCAUAUCUUCAGACUACACUUACUGCUGUUAAUAUUUUGACCACCUCUCACGAAUCACAAAUAUUCUUAAUGGCCUCUAAAUGGUGAAUACUUUCCAGAAGGCUUUCAAUUUGCUUUGCCCAGAUCAGAGGAAUCAAAAGAAUUUGCCAUCAAAGGAAUCACUAUCUAUAGCUAUAAGCUAUAGCCUUACAAAAUGUAUUUCGUAAAUAAGACUGGAAAGUUAACAUGAUUCCUUGAUCCACGGGCUGCAGAAUGGAUGUUGUGUUAACAGGCAUGAAAACAACAUUCAUCUCCUUGUACAGCUCCAUCAUAGCUCGUGGGUGACCAGGUACAUGGUCAAUGAGCAGGAAUAUUUUGAGAGGAGCUGUUUUGUCUCAGCAGUAGGUGUCAGCUGUGGGCUUAAGAUAUUCAGGAAACCAUGCUGUAAACAGAUGUGCAGUCAUCCAGGCUUUGUUGUUCCAUCUACAGAGCACAGGCAGAGUAGAUUUAGCAUAACUCUUAGGGCCCUAGGAUUUUCAAAGUGAUAAAUGAGCACUGGCCUCACCCUAAAGUUACCAGCUACAUUAGCCCCUAACAAGAGAAUCAGAAAUGUCCUUUGAAGCUUUAAAGCCAGGCAGUGACUUCUCCUCUCCAGCUAUUAAAGUCCUGGGUGGCAUCUUCUUCCAAUAGGAGGCUAUUUCAUCUAUCUUGAAAAUCUGCUGCUUAGUGUAGCCACCUUCGUCAAUGAUCUUAGCUAGGUCUUCUGGGUAACUUGCUGCAGCUUCUACACAAGCAGCUGCUGCUUCUUCUUGCAUUUUUAUGUUAUGGAGAUGGCUUCUGUUCUUCAUCUUAUGAAUCAACCUCUGCUAGCUCCAAGAUGAAUCAACCUCUGCUAGCUCUAAGCUUUUGUUUUGCACCUUCCGCACCUCUCUCAGCCUUCACAGAAUUGAAGAGUUAGGGCCUUGCUCCGAAUCAGGCUUUGGCUUUAGGGAAUGUUGUGGCUGGUUUGGUCUUCUAUCCAUACCCACUCAAACUUUCUCCAUAUCAGCAAUGGCUGCUUUGCUUUCUUAUCAUUCCUGUGUUCACUGGAGUGCUUGGACUUUCCUUCAAGAACUUUUCCUUUGCAUUCACAACUUGGCAAACUGUCUUAAGAGGCUUAGCUUUCAGCCUAUCUCAGCUUUCAACAUGCCUUCUUCACUAAGCUUAAUCAUUUCUAGCUUUUGAUUUAAAGUGAGAGAGAUGUGGCUCUUCCUUUCACUUCAACACUUAAAGAGACUACUGUAGGGUUAUUAACUGGCCUAAUUUCAAUAUUGUAUCUCAGGGAAUAGGGAGAUUGGAGGACAGGGAGAGAUGGGGGAACAACCAGUCAGUGGAGCAGUCAGAAUACACACAUUUAUCUAUUAAAUUCUGUCUUCUAUGGGUGUGGUUUGUGAUGUUCCAAAACAAUUACAAUAGUAACAUCAAAAAUCAUCGAUUACAGAUCACUACAAUAGAUAUAAUAAUAAUGAAAAGUUUUGAAAUAUUGUGAGAAUUACCAAAAUGUGACAUAGGCACACAAGUAAGCACAUGCUGCUGGAAAAAUAGGGCCAAAACACUUGUUGAACACGGAGUUGCCAUAACCUUCAGUUGGUAAAAACAAAACAAAAUACCACAGUAUCUGCAAAGUGUAACAAAAAGGGGUAUGCUUGUAGCACUAUUCUCAUUUUAACUUGAAAUGGUCAGAUAGUUGGUAAAUGACCAAGCUGGGACUGAAUUCGGUCCAUUUAACUCUAAAAUCUGUGCUUAACACUUAUGUUUACAAGAGAGAGUUGAGAUGGGCCCUGCUGAGAGCAUGAGAGUUAACUACUUGAAUCUGUACCCAAAUCUAGGAUUCUAACAUAUUUUCAGGAACAGCACAAAGGACACAAUAUAAAGAACAAUUUAAAAUAGUCCUGUGUAAGGUAGAUUCCAUCUUUGAGCUUUUGGUUAUAAAGACAUUUGAAGAACUAGACAAAAUUAUGUGCUUGUGGUUAUCCAUUAUAUAAAUUAUCUCCUGUCAUUCUGAAGGAUUAUUUUAUUUAUAAUCUGAAGACCUACCUUAGGAGGGGGUGGGCUGGGUGUGGUAGCUCAUGCCUGUAAUCCCAGCACUUUGGGAGACCGAGGAGGGCAGAUCACUUGAAUUCAGGAGUUCAAGACAAGCUUGAGCAAUGUGGGGAAACCCCAGCUCUACAAAAAAUACAAAAAUUAGCUGGGCAUGGUGGCACAUGCCUGUAAUCCCAGCGACUCUGAAGGCUGAGGUGGGAGGAUCACCUGAGUCCAGGGAGGUCGAGGCUGCAGUGAGCUGAGAUCACGCCACUGCAUUCCAGCCUGGGUGACAGAGCGAGAGAGACAGAGAGAGAGUCAGCGAGAGAGAGAGAGAGAGAGAGAGAGAGAGAGAAGGAAGGAAAGAAAGAGGAAAGGAAAGGAAAGGAGGAAAAGAGAAGAAAAGAGAAGAAAGGAAAAGAAAAGAAAAGAAAAAAGAAAGGUGGAGGGGAAUCGAGUUUGCAAGUAUCACCAGGUAUGACUAAAACAAUUUCUUGCUCCUUUAAGGUUUUGAACAGAGAUCAGCAAACUAUGGCCUGCGAGCCAAAAAUAAAUUUUAUAUUUUUAAAGUAUUGUUUAGAAAAAGAAUAAUUUGUAACAGAGACUUUAUGUUGCCCACAAGGCCUGAAAUUUUUAUUAUCUGGUCCUUUACCAAAAACAUUUGUUGACCUCUGCUCUAGAUCUUAAAAAUGGGUGCACAAAGUAUGAAAUAGGUGUAAUAGAGAAUAAAGUCCCUAGUUAGAAAAAGCAAUUCCCUAAAGGUUGUUUUUUUUGAGACAAGGGAUCAAGCCAUCCUCCCACUUCGGCCUCCCAAGUAGCUGGGACUACAGGUGCAUGCCAUCACCUCUGGCUAAUUUUUAAAUUUUUUGUAGAGACAGUGUCUUGCUGUGUUGCUGGUCUUAACCUCCUGGCUUCAAGCUAUCCUCCCACUUCGGCCCCCCAAAAGUGUAAGCCACCAUGCCCAGCCCCUACAGGUUUAAGUGUCCAAGGGAUUUUUUUUUUAAUAUCAACAACAAAGAUUCCCAGAGUCAGAUUUUCAAAUGGAUCUAGCCUCCCAACUUAGCAUCAAUGAGAUGAUAUUAGGGGACAAAAAAAGAAAAAGAAGAUGCUGAGAAGCUUGGGGAAGAAUCAGAAUUAUCCAGGUUUAGAGCUGCAAGGAACCGUAUAGAAACUAUGGACCAACGUUCUCUAGCUCCGUAAAUGAAGAAACACCCAGGGACGAGGCAGUGACUUCAGGCUGCGAUGUGUCGGCAUAGCACAGUCCUGUCUCCGGGCUCCUAGGCCACGUCUAUUCUCACUGUGCCAUGAGGCCUUUACCUUAUUACAGAGACAUGCUCUGCAAACCAAGGUGUGGUGGACAGCUUUUUAAAACGUCAGACGAAAACCAGCAGCUCUGCAAAGAAUGUGUGAUCUGAAGGUGAAGUCUCAACCCAUUUUGUUAAGAAAAAUUAAUGUUUCUUUUUUUAUAAUGCUUUUUUGAAUUUCAAAAGUGGUACACAUUCAUUAUAGAAUUUUCAUUAAGAAAAUUAUUUUUCAAUAAGGAAAUUCAAAAAAAGAGAAUAAUUAUUCAUAAUCUCUCCAUCCAAUAAUAAAAUAUUUUCAACAUUUUAUUAUUUCCUUGCAACUUUUUUUUUUUUUUUUGAGACAGAAUCUCACUCUGUCAUCAUCCAGGCUGGAGUACAGUGGCAUGAUCAGGGCUCACUGUAGCCUCGACCUCCCAGGCUCACGGGAUCCUCCUGCUUCAGCUUCCCAAGUAGCUGGGACUACAGGCAUGCUUCACUAUGCUUGGUUAAUUUUUGUAUGUUUUGUAGAGAUAGGGUUUCACCAUGUUGUCCAGGCUGGUCUUGAAUUCCUGGGCUCAAGUGAUCCACCUGCCUUGGCUUCCUGAAGUGAUGGGAUUAUAGGCGUGAACAACUGUGCCUGGCCCUUACAGCUUUUUUAAAAAUGCAGAUACACAUAUGCCAUUUGAAAAAUUAGAAUAUUCCCAGAAGUUUGAGACCAGCCUGGGAAACAUAGCAAGACCCCAUCUCUACAAAAAAAUUUAAAAAUUAGUUGAGCAUGGUGGCACAUGCCUGUAGCCCCAGCUACUAGGGAAGCUCAGGUGGGAGGAUCACUUGAGCCCAGGAGUUCAAAGUUGCAAUAAGCUAUGAUUGUGCCACUGCACUCCAGCCUGGGUGACAAGAGUGAGAAGACCCUGUCUCAAAAAUAAAUAAAUAAGUAAAUAAUUACAGUAUUUUUUUUCACUUAAUGUCAGCAUUUUUGUGUCACGUAAAUUUUCCUAAAACCUUUUAACAUUAUACAAUUCCAUUGUGUGUAUGUAUAAUAAUUUCUGUAACUUCUAGGACGGACCAGCUUAUAGAAAGAAUGUUUUACCUCGCCCUCACCAACAGUGAUUAUGAGCAUUAUUCAAAAUAUUUUUCCAUUUGAUAAGCAUGAAAUGGUUUCUCUUUGUUUCACACUGACGUUGAUCCUUUCUUCACAUGGCAUUUAUUUAUAUGCCAUCUUUUGUGAAUUGUCUAUUCCCAAUGUCACACGUCCUAUUCCCAUUUUUCUUCUGAGGUAUUCAUCUUCUUUUUGAUGAUAAGAGCCAAACAGAAAAGAUUUUAACCUUUUCUUCUAUCACAAAUAUUGUAUGUUUCCCACUUUUCCAUUUGCCUUUUAAUUUUGUCUUUUUAAUUUGUUGUUGUUUUAAUCUUGAAAUGUAGCAUUUCCAGCUAGUCAAAUCCUCUGCAUUUGUCCUUUGUAAUGCCAUAUAAGGGAUGAUCUACCGAAGCUGGCUAAUGACCUAUUAGUUUCUAAAAAGCAGCCAGUGUAAGUCCCCCAAAUCUGCACAGCCUGCAGAGGUUCCACUCAGUGUUGGCCAGAUGGAAGGAAUGUGGAGUAGAAACGCUACCAGAUGGACUAUGAGUCAGGAGGCCCAGAUGCUUGUCCUGGGUUUGCUGCUUGCUUGCUGCAAGUCCUUAGGCAAAUCUCCCAUUCUCUCUGGGUACCAUAACCCUCUGUCAACAAAAUGAAAGGUAUGGACACUACACUCUCAAAAGACACAUCCAUUUCUUUUUUCUUUUUUUUGAGACAGAGUUUUGCUCUGUUGCCCAGGCUGGAGUGCAGUGGCGCAAUCUCGGCUCACUGCAACCUCCGCCUCCCAGGUUCAAGAGAUUCUCCUGCCUCAGUCUCCCGAGUAGCUGGGAUUACAGGUGUGCACCACCAGGCCUGGCUAAUUUUUGUAUUUUUAGUAGAGACCAGGUUUCCCACGUUGGCCAGGCUGAUCUCGAACUCCUGACCUCAGGUGAUCCACCCGCCUCAGCCUCCCAAAGUGCUGGGAUUACAGGUGUGAGUCACUGUGCCCGGCCGACACAUCCAGUUCUAAUGCUCAUUCUUAUUUGACAUGUGAAAGAAGGGAAGUCAGUGCUAGAUGUUCCAGGCUAGUCAGAAUCCACAACCCCAGAGAGACCUGUCAGUGAGAAGAGGGAAGAAGGUGAGAGAUGGUAAAAACGAAUGUCUGACAGGAGAAAACUUGCAGCCCUUUUGACAUGUGGCUUAUAGAAUUUAUUUCAAGUAAAUCAGCAUGAUCUGGAAAGUCAAAGGCAGCAGAGAACCAAAACUGAAAAAGGGCUUACUUCUAGUGCAUAGAUUUUUCCCAGAAAAGGCACCAGGUAAUCUGACUGUGACUUCCUCUAAGCCAGUUGGGGGAUUAUAAAUGUUGGAUAUGGGCAUAAAAGCCAGAAUAAAAAGAUCCAAAAGGGAUGUGGAUGACAAAAGUGGUACAAGUUUUGAUGUAAAAGGGAAAAGCUGUUCAUGAGGGUCAUCAUGUUGAGAGAGAUCUCUUUGAGGGCUGGUAUAGAUCAGAUCAUAAAAACAAAAGGGACAAAAGACAACGAAACUCAAGCAUAGGAGAAGAAAUGGUCUCAAGACAGUUUGGCAGGUUUGUAGUACAGAUGAAAGUGAUGUCCUCUGUCCCGUGGAAAUACCCGCAAACACAAUAUCGUGAAAUAAGAAUAUGUGCUUUGAAGUAUUAAGGUGCUGGCAAGAAAGGCAAGGUGUUAGUUACAUAAUAGUGGCAUUGUGUUGUGGGUGCCACCAACAAAGCCCUGAGUCCAGGUGACACAGGGUCAUGAGAAAUCACAUUAAUGAGCUAAAGUCCUUACCUACCAUUGCUAACUAACUAGUAUUUUAUUUAUGUGUAUUUAACAAUUAUUUUUUCUUGCAUAAAUUAAGUAAUAACACCUGUUUUCUUCACUUUAUUGCUACUUUAGUAGUUAUUUAUCCUUUCCAUUUUAUUUUAGCACUGAUUAAAACAUAAAAUGUCUUUAGGAAAUGUUAUGUCCUAAUUUAUGGUUUAUUUUAAUCUUAGCAGUCAAACACUGAUGACAUUGCAUCUCUUUAAAAAAUUAGCCUAUUAUCACACACCAAUAAAUACAUUCUUUAAAAAAAAAAUCUCAUUCUCAAAUGAGAAGAAACCACAAAGCAAUGAGGCAAUGAAGGAAGAAAAACAAAUCCUGAGUCUUUCACCUGGCCCAACAGGGUGUAUUAAGAGUAAUUAUGGAGUGUAUUAAGAAUCAUUAAAGUAAUAUUUCCUUGGGUUUCUGUGAUGAAGGAUGGCUCAUCUGUUCACUUCCAAUACUUAAUUUUUUCAAGCUUGCUGUCUUUCAUGUAAAUAAAAAGGAAAGAGUAACUUUCCUUUUCCAAAAAACACAGAAGGGCAAAAACUACACUACAAAUAGCUUUUACCCUCAGGCUCAAAGUUCUCAAUAAAUUAAAUCUCCAUUAUUGUUUACUCUGUUGUGGAUACAACUGAAAAAAGAUUAACCGGGUCCCACUUUAGAGAUGAGAAAAUGGGCCCACAGAAACAGCCUAAAUCAAUCUAUAAUACACAAAGAAACAAAGGCCAGCCUUUCCAUCCAAAGGCCUCUCCUGGGAUCUCGGUUCACAGUCUCCAUUCAGGGUUCAACAGCACCCCUUCAGGACUGCACCCUAAGUUUUUAAAGGAGGGAGAUGUGCAGGAAGGAACACUGACCAGGAGCAGGUAACUGAAGCUCAGCCCUAGCUUUAGCCCAUGCUAUUUCUAUGAUCUUGGGAAAGUAAUUUUCAUCUUCCUAUGGCCCCAUUUCCUUCAAUAUAAAAUGGAGAUAAUAUUUACACCUACUGCCUCAGUGUUUAUAAAGUUCAAAUGGAGGAAAGGGCUCUUUUCAAAAUACAGGCCACCUGUGUUAUUUAUGAAUUUAAAAUAGAAGAAUAAAGCAACUAAAAUAAUGAUUUUUAAACUUACAUCAUCCUCUCAUUCAUGAAUUUCAUAAACUCAUCUCCUUAAAGUGCUACAUGGCAUACAUGUAAGAAUAAACAUAAUUUUUUAUUUCAAUUAUUUGUUUUAAUCAACUAAGAGAACUAUUUUGUGUGUAUGUAUAAUAUUGACAUUUUAUGGUAAGGAAAAUUAUAAUGUGGCACAAAUAGCAUAUCAAUUCUUUUCUUAAAGUGUUGAUAAACCAAAAAACUGUCAAUAUGCUAAUAAUAAAGUUGCAUUUUGCUCUAAAUUAAAUGUACACUUUCGAUUUAAGAUUUUAUUCACAAAAUAAACAGUACCACUGCAUAAAAAAAUUACAUGAUGAUAUAAAAUACUAUGUGAAGGAGUUGGCAAAUUAUGUUUAUAGCUGUUCUUUAAACCUAGACAAUUCUAAUCUAGAAUUCGAUCUAAAAAUAAGAUACUUCUGCAUUUUUAACCCUUAAAAAAUUGUCCAUUCAAUACUACUCAUUAAAGCAAAAAAGAAAAAAAUUUUUCAACUUACAUACAAAAAUUCCAUGAGUUUUAAAAUAAUAAGAAAGUGUGCUAUAACCUACCGAUUACUUUGAAUAAAGGAUAUUUAUCAACAAUUACACUGGGUAAAAACGUUCCUUUCUCUGAAACCCUGGAGGAGCAAUGUUUAAUGAGAAAGAAUUAUUUAUGCCUACAAACACAGAACUGUAAUAGGUAGUUUUAAUGUAACACAUCACAGCAGUAGAUGCAGGCGGCCAGAAACGUGUUACCUGGUUUUGACUUAUACCCAAUUUCCAAGACCAGACUAAGACUUUGUAAACAGCAGGGGCUUUUAGUUUUGUUUUUCCUUAUUAUUGAUAGUGGAUGGCAACAAUAUUUGUGCUGACGGGGUCUUUGGGAGGAAUACUGAGGUUCUCCCUUUUCCUGAGGAAAAUGAGGUCUCACUCAUCUCCUAUUUGCCAGGACUAGUGAUCUCAGCACAUGCUUUGUUCUUUUUUCUCUCUGUUUAAGUGCUGGUAGUAAUUUAGUGAUUUCAAUCAUUGCUACAUUCAUUUUGGAAUAAUAAAGUGAUGUUAGGAGAUUCCUGUCAUUGCGAAGACAGGUUUUAGGAGGAAAAGGAUCUAUAGUUAGUCAGUUUUGCUACCAAGAGUAGCCUUUGGUACACUGAAAUCAAAUUAACUACAAAAACAUCAGGGAUACGUGUGGGGAUGGAGCUAGCUGUGGGGAGAUGAGCACUGAACCCAAACCAGUCUGGGCCAGAGGAAAACUCUACAGUCUCAUCAUGCAACAAAACAGGGAAAUUGGUUUUAGCGUUUUUAACUUUAAUUAGUCACAUUAAUUAAUGCUAAAAACCAAUGUUAACAGUAUAUUAUUUUCAUCUAGUUAAAUAAAGGAUUACACACAUUUGAGUAAAUUACACAGCAUUAAACAUUUCGAUAACUUGAAAUGAAGCCAUUACUGUCAUUCAAACAAGUUUCCACAGCUAAAGGCUGAAUGUUAAGUAUGAACUGAUUUGGCAUUACAAGAAUAUAAAUCCUUUAUCUUUUUACUGAGAAGAAAAAAUGAAGAGAUUCGAUGACUUCUGACUUGAAUAAGUGGUUUGCAGUAGCACAGCGCCCUCCAGUGGCCAAAUUUCAAAAUGCAGUUUCAAAGGACAAAGUUCAGUAGCAAAUCUUUUCAUGUUGAAUGGUGUUAAGCUGGUAACAUUAGCUCCUUUUUCUUUUCUCUUUUAAUAUAAUUGUUUAUCUCAGCACAUAUUUUCAAUAUCAAACCAUUUUUCUAUUGCCAAAUUUCCCUCACCAAAUUAAAAUUCUUCUAUUCAAAUCUGAUUUGUUUUCCCUCAGAAAUAUUCUGAAAAGUAAAAAAGAAAUCAAAGCGAAACAAAACAAACCUAAUGUGGACACAGACAACUGCAAUGAGAGGGAAUUCUCUAUACGCCUCAGAUAAUGGCGAAUGCCAGCACUAGAGUAGUAGUAAUGAAUUCUUAAGUGUUAAAAUCCAAACUCCAGAGUAAGAUUAUACAAAUUAUGGAACUCUAUUUUGCCUGAUAUACAUCAUGAUGAGUACAUAUGGUGAGUUCAAAGUUGUAAGCAUAUCUUUUACUCAUUUUUUCUAUAUGUGAACAUUUCUGUUUUUAAAUAACAGUAUAAAAGAUUUCACUGUAUGCACAUUCUUUCACUAUUACAACUCCUAUUAAAAUGGAUCCAAAUAUUUUUCUGUGGAAGUAGGAAAAGAUAACCCUUUGGUUACCUUUGCAGAUUACCAGAAAAGCUCCCUUAGGCCAAUCUAAAAUACUCCUAUUCUUGAAAAGACAUUGAUUUCUCACAAUGAAAAGAGAUCAUAAUUCCACUUUUAAUAACUACUGCCAUAGAGUAAACACUUAUAAUAUUCUUGGUCUGCCAAAUAAAUACUGCAAGGCAUCUGGGGGCAUACAAGCAUUGCCCCGGAUCCUAUACCAAAUAGUUACUAGGUAGCAUGAGGGAGUUUGCUAUCAAAAGGAUAAUAAUAACUAGCUAUUUUUUCCCUUUUCUGCCUACCCAAAGAAUAGAAAAGUUUAAGCAUGUUUUAAAGAAUCAUACCUUUCACCGAAACCGACAAAGCAACUCUAUAUAAUGUCAAGAACAAUGGCUGUGGCCUUGCAUCUUGUUUCCACCGCUACAGAUCAAAACAGGCAAAUAACAUCUCUGUGUUUCGUUUCUUCAUCUAUGAAAUGAAGAUAAUUGUUCCCAUCUCAUGGGAAUGUGGUGAGGAUUCAUUGUAAUGAUGCAAAUGAAAUAACUAAGCCUGACUGCCUGAAACUCACACGGGAGAUCUUCAAAGAAUGUUAGUUCUCUUCUCCAUCUAUUCUUACCAACAAAAGAAUGCAGAAGACCUAUUUUCACCAGAAGGAGGACUGGAACCAGAGUUAGCAGGUAUGGAGUCACAUGGGUGAAUCAAUAAAACCCACUCAAAAUUUCAUCUAUGAAAAACCUGUCCUUCUUUAUUAUACAUUAGAAGACCCAAAGAUGGUUCUGGAAGCAAACACACUGAAUUCUGGAAAGGGGAGGAAAAGGAACAGAAUUGGCAUUUGUUAUGUGCUUCAUGUGCUACUGGUUGCACCCAGCUUUUCUAUACAUAAUCGUAUUACUUAAGGCACCACAGAACUCUAUACAGCAGUUAGAACUGUGAUGGAACCAGUGAGGCUGGCUUCCUCUUAUCCAAGUAUGACUGGAGGACAGGGCUCAAAUGACCGUGCAGGUGCAUCUGGGCGGGGGGGCGGGGGUAUAACAAUGAAGAGGAGGUGCAAUAACAGCCCCGUGGGGAUGAUGACAGACAGAAUAUGCUCAUGAAUAAGAAUGUCUUACUUAUCCCAUCUUAAUUACUUUCUUCUGUCUCUUUCUUCAUGUUUAAGUAUUAAGAGCAGUGAGGUGGUAAGAAAUGGUAUGGGAGUCAUAUCAGAAUCCUUUGGAGAGAAGAGAUGGGCACAUGUGUCAUCUAAAAAAGCAUUUUCAAAAUUAUAAUAAAAUACACAACAUUUGCAAAGCAGGCUUUCUGCCCGUUGUGACCGUGAAAACAAAGCAGCUGAAGAGGCCUGAUGUGAAAGUGACCUCCUCUGUGCUCUGUCACUGGCAAGAACAGGAAAAACACUUGGGGCAAGCAAGCCAGCCCCACUUUCACACAUGACUCACACGACUGAAGGAAAG